AACGCGAAGAACCUUACCUACCCUUGACAUGGAAGGAACCUCCGAGAGAUUGGAGGGUGCCCGAAAGGGAACCUUUACACAGGUGCUGCAUGGCUGUCGUCAGCUCGUGUCGUGAGAUGUUGGGUUAAGUCCCGCAACGAGCGCAACCCUUGUCAUUAGUUGCUACGAAAGGGCACUCUAAUGAGACUGCCGGUGACAAACCGGAGGAAGGUGGGGAUGACGUCAAGUCCUCAUGGCCCUUAUGGGUAGGGCUUCACACGUCAUACAAUGGUACAUACAGAGGGCCGCCAACCCGCGAGGGGGAGCUAAUCCCAGAAAGUGUAUCGUAGUCCGGAUUGUAGUCUGCAACUCGACUGCAUGAAGUUGGAAUCGCUAGUAAUCGCGGAUCAGCAUGUCGCGGUGAAUACGUUCCCGGGCCUUGUACACACCG
rnacentral:rRNA from 1 species